UUUAAUGUGCAAGUUGCAACGCAUCCCUUCUCGCUUUAUAUAUAGUAGUAUAGAAUAAAGAAACCUCAUAAUAUAUAAAAAUUGAAAUAUAUAAGAUACUGACGAACGGCAGUGAUAUUCGGCCACCACUGCCGGGAAAGCCAGCGGCGGAAGAACAAGAGCGGUUGUGCGUGGACGACAUGAUGCAGAGAUGCUUCGGCGAGUUCGGGCGUUGGCAGAUGAAGCAGUUUGUGUUGACGUCUUUAGCGUGAGGACUAGAAGCCUUCACGCGAUGGUGAUGAUAUAUGCGGACCAAGAACCCAAUUUGAAGCGUUUGGGACCGAGUUGCUCGGUUGGAUCCUGGAUUUGUGAUAUAAAUCCGGAUUCAUAUAUGGUCAUGAACAUAAUACAAAAAGUAUCUACCCUCUUUUUAAGCCCUCGUCUUUCGCCAUGAUCGAUGUCAAGAAGAGGGCUUGAACGAGACCGAAUUUAUACUUCUCACCGCAAAUCAACCUGCCCCCCCACUUCACCAAUGUGGAAAUGCUUUUGGCAUUUUUCCAUUGCCAUGAACCGGAAUCCAUAUCACAAAACCAAGAUCCAACUGAGCAAUCCGAUCUAACACACUUCCACUUGGGUUCUUGGUCGGCAUAUAUCAUUAUCAUUGCGUGAAAAGCUUCUAGUCCCCAUGCUAGAGACGUCAACACAUAUAUCAUCUGCCAACGCCCCAGCUCGCCGUAGUAUCUCUGUAACAUAUCGUCCACGCACAACUUUUCUUUUUCUCCCGCCGCUGGCUUUCCCAACAGCGGAUAUCGCUGCAGUUCAUCAAAUCUUAUUUUAUCAAAAAUCGUUUAAUUAAGCCUCAAUGUCGAAUCUUGAGUAUUUGUGAGCUCAACUUAUUUCUAGUUAAUGUUUGUUGUUACUAUAGAUGAAUCAUGAUGCUUCUUGUUAUUGCAUAAUUUAUAAGUUUUAUACUCGGAAGAAAAGUAAUCCACGUAAAGUAAAA